GAUGAACGCUGGCGGCGUGCUUAACACAUGCAAGUCGAGCGAGAAGUUUUGAAAAGAUUCUUCGGAUGAAAUUUAAAAUGGAAAGCGGCGGACGGGUGAGUAACGCGUAGGCAACCUGCCCCAUACAAAGGGAUAGCAUUUGGAAACGAAUAUUAAUACCUUAUGAAACUUAACUAGUGCAUGCUAGGUAGGUCAAAGAUUUAUCGGUAUGGGAUGGGCCUGCGUCUGAUUAGCUAGUUGGUGAGGUAACGGCUCACCAAGGCGACGAUCAGUAGCCGACCUGAGAGGGUGAACGGCCAGAUUGGAACUGAGACACGGUCCAAACUCCUACGGGAGGCAGCAGUGGGGAAUAUUGCACAAUGGGGGAAACCCGGAUGCAGCAACGCCGCGUGAACGAUGAAGGCCUUUGGGUCGUAAAGUUCUGUACUAGGUGAUGAAAACUGACAGUAACCUAGGAGAAAGCCCCGGCUAACUCCGUG
rnacentral:rRNA from 1 species